CCUGAGGCGAAGCUUUCAUUUUGGAGAAGGAGGAGCUGGCGGAGGGUAGAGGAAGGAUGCUACGCAGGCAGAGCGUGCGUCUUUUCUUGUCGGCAACACGAGGAGAAGGACCGCAUCCAGCGGCGCUGCAUUCUCCGACCCUGACGGAGCUUCGGAGGCCGCUUCGUACUAGCGCCCCGCGGCGUUACGACCCUUUCCGAGAUCUGCCAAAGGAAUUGGACAAGUUCCGCAAGAAGGCGAAGGAGGCGUUUCCUGGCAGCGACUGGAGCCCUUUGCCUGUUUGGAGAGAGCUGCCUCCCGAACAGGCGGAUGUGGUCAUUGUUGGCGGAGGGGUGAUCGGGUGGUCAGUGGCCUACUGGCUGAAGAGGAACGAACCAAGGAGUGGGGCCAUCCGCGUGGUAGUGGUCGAAAGGGACCUCAGUGUGAGUGACCCGCCGCGCUUGGAAAUGUACCCCAAAGCAUCCACAGUUCUCUCUGUCGGGGGGAUACGGCAGCAGUACUCAAUGCCAGAAAAUAUCCAGAUGAGCCUGUUCUCAGCAAACUUCUUGCGCCUAAUCGACGAAUACCUUCAUGUUGUCGGCCAGCCACCUGUAGAUAUUCAGUUUAAUCCUUCUGGCUAUCUUUUCCUGGCUUCAGAUGAAAAAGCUGCAGUGCUUGAGGAGAAUGUGCAAGUUCAAAGGAAGGAAGGAGCAAAGGUGUCCCUGCUUUCACCAGCACAACUAAAAAAGAAAUAUCCAUGGAUGAAUACAGAUGGUGUGGCAUUGGCAUCCUGUGGCUUAGAAAAUGAGGGCUGGUUUGACCCUUGGAGCCUCUUGAAUGCCUUCCGAAGCAAAGCAAUAUCUAUGGGUGUCUAUCAGAGCUGUGGUGAAGUGACAUCUUUCACUUCAGAUGCCAAAGCAAUGGUGACAGAUGAUGGAGAGUAUAUUAAUUACUCCCGUAUCAUGAAUGUUAAUGUCCAGAUGCCCAACAGUACUGAGUAUGCCACAAUACAGUGUUCCCUAGUGGUGAAUGCAGCAGGAGCCUGGUCAAGCAGAGUGGCAGAGAUGGCUGGUAUUGGGACUGGGCCUCCAGACUCAGUAUCUGGGGUCAAGCUUCCAGUGGAACCCAAGAAAAGGUAUGUUUAUGUGUGGCACUGUCCGGAUGGGCCUGGCUUGGCAUGCCCCAUUCUGAUAGACACGACAGGAGCUUACUGCCGGAGGGAAGGUCUGGGUGGCAACUACCUUGGAGGCAUAAGCCCCACAGAAGAGGAAGAACCAGAUAUCCAGGACCUGGCUGUAGAUCAUGAGUUUUUUCAGGAGAAGGUCUGGCCUAAGUUGGCCCACCGGGUGCCCUGCUUUGAAUCCUUGAAGGUGAAGAGUUCUUGGGCCGGUUACUAUGAUUACAAUACUUUUGACCAAAACGCUGUGAUCGGCCUGCAUCCGCUGGUGGAAAACCUCUACUUUGCCACCGGCUUCAGUGGGCAUGGCUUGCAGCAGUCUCCAGCUGUUGGCCAAGCCAUAGCUGAGCUCAUCCUGGAUGGCAAAUACAAGACGAUCAACUUGGAGGCAUUUUCCUUCAACAGACUCAUCAAGGGGGAGAAAGCUCUAGAGAGGAAUAUUAUCUAAAAGCAUCACAGAACUGGGAAUCCAUUUUGGUGAAAGCAGAAGCAGUGGCCAGUGCACUCCCAUCGAGAAACAGGGACAAGAUGUACCUGAUGCUCGAGACUUGCUGCUGCCCUCCCAGUCGCCACUUCCACUUUUCCAAGGGCAGCCAAAGCAAGAAGAAGGUGUGCUUGGUGCCCAGGCCUUGCUUCCACACCUGCCCUGGCACCAUGUCUGUACCUGUUAAGUCCAUCACAGGAAGAAGAUGCCCCUUUUCCUUUCCAUCUGACUUCAUAGCAGCCAGUUCCAGUCCUGGAUUAACCUGACGUGGUACAAAGGUAUGGAAGACAGAUUCAUGUCGAGUCCUCAGGAACAUCCACAAUUGAAUUGGCAAAACCUUACCAUAACGAAGCACUGAUUUACUUUGAAUUUAAGCAGUCAAAAGCUUUGGUACGUACAUUUCAGCAUGGAAACAUAGUGGUGGGUUUUCCCCCCGAAAAGGUCAGUGUCCAACGUGGUCUCUUGCUACUGGGUUUUUUUUAGCUAUAAUGGACUCUUUGGCUUUCUGCUACAUCUAAUUGUUUGACACUGUUUACUGGCUGCGAUGAGACUGGAAACAUUAUCAAGGAUUCUCCCUGAGAUUUUCCCCUCCGAAAUGUAUCUUGAAGAAGACAUUUUUUUAUAUUUUUCCUUUGCUUUUGUAGUCGUUAUUUACAGCAACAUUGUAAAAAUGACAAAAAGAAAAGAAAACACCUUUAACAGCUGGAGGCAAGAUGGUCUUCCUUUAGAUGCCUGGUUUAAUUACAAAGCUCUGCCUAACCCUGUAAGAGAGGAGGAAGCCAUAGAAUCCAAGUUGGGAGGACUCCACAAAUGCAGAGCAGUCCAUCCCUUUCCUCUCUGCACAAGCAUAGGAAUCCGCUGUUAAAGGACUAAACAGGUGGACAUCCAAUCUCUGAUCAAUUAAGUCAGGCAAAAGAAGGAUCUGUGAGGAGUGUGAAUCCCUGCACAAAGCUCUUUUUUUUCUGUGCAGCCAUGUGGUAACCACUUGCUUAAAAUCCAGGUGGAAGGAACACAACAGGCAGCAUAUUACAUACACUGAAAAGUGCAUGGGAUAGAAGCAUUCUGAGCACAGCAGCUCUUUAAACUUCUGUGAGUGCUAAUACAAAACUCAAAUAUGGUUUGUUAUCCUGCAGUUUUAUCUUUUUAAUUAUAAGGCAGACAUAAAACUAAAUACUGUUUUUAAACCGAUGGAGGAUAAUCUCGUUAACUCCAACAGUAAUACUACCAACUUGAAAAGGUAAAAACAGUAGAUGUUUCAAAGCUGAAGGUUUUGAAAAGGCUCAUGGACAAAAGCCGGUGAUUGUGGUAUGCAUCUUUAUCUUACUCUUACCUUUCUAGAUUUCAAAAAAUUUGAUUAGGGCGAAAGUAAGAGAUAUGUACAUAUGAUGGAAAGCAGUAUUUUUCAUAUUUGUCACAGCAUAAAAAAAACCCCACAAACACACUGCUGUCAGUAGUUUUUUGUGGGGGGGUUUUAGCCCGAAAAACCCACAAAAAACUAUGGAUGCCAGCCAUGAAAGCCUUCGACUUCACACUGCUGUCAUUCUUAAGCCUAACUGCUAUUCAAAGGCUCAGAAGGGAGGUCAAAAAACCAAAGAGCUGAGGUCCUGAAGUAUAUAAAAUAACUAUCACAGAUAGUGUUCUGGAGAAAGGUAGAAAGAUAUAUUAAAAGACAUCUACUCAUCUUUUAAAAAGGGGAGCACUGACUAUGGAAAAUAAGCAUGUCACCGAAACUGUUGUAUCCCUUGGCCCACUCCCCAGACAGAGACCUACAGCCAGGAAUGCUGGCACAGAAGUACUCAACUGGAUUUGAUCUCUUGCAUUUGCUGUAGUAUGUAUUUUCUAUAGCUGUUAUCUUUAUGCCACUGGCUACAGCUUUCAGCCGCUUCAUCUUUUUAGUUUCUUUGUUGGCACUUUAGCUUUUAAGGGAGCUCCUGGACACUUCCGAUUGACACCUAAAAUGGGAAAAACACAUUCAGCAUUUGUGGUGCUACUGAUUGUAUACAGACUGACUUAUUAUUACACUUAUAACUGUCUUCUCAGAAAAGGGCUACUUUUUAUUUUACAAAUUACAUGCAUUUUUUUUACAUGAGAUCUCUUCUUUAGUUGAGUUCAUAGCUUGAGCCCAAUUGUACAACCACAUUUCUUGCAAGUUCAGAUCCAGAAGUUUGCAAAAUGGGCUCACAGUGAUGUAGAAGAUAAUGGUAUAUACUGUAUACACUCAUAUAAGUUUAGAAAUGUUAAACAAAAAAUUGACACCCAAAAACCUGGGGUGAUUUAUAUGGGGUUAAUGUCAGUACUAUAUUUUAACUUUCAACUAAAAAGGAACCGCCUGCUUCUCAGCGUCGUGUGGCGAAAGGUGAGAGCACCUAAAAGAUGCACUGACUCUCUCCUCCAAGGCACUGUUUUUGGCCCUUUUGAAUGCCUGGGCAGGAACAUGAUGGCAGUGGCAGCUUUUUGGUGCUUUGAAGGAUUUCAAUAAGAGAUUUGAAUAUGUUUGUCAUCUUUUCUGGGUUAAACUCAGGCAAAUUUAUCACAUUAAAUUUAAAUGCUAUCACUGCUAA